rnacentral:rRNA from 1 species
UGAGUACGAGACGCUAAGGCGUCGAAGUAGUGGAUGUCAUACUUCCAAGAAAAGAUUGCACUGUCAUAAAUAAAAUGCCUGUACCAUAACCGACACAGGUGGGUAAGUAGAGUAUACUAAGGGGCGCGAGAUAACUCUCUCUAAGGAACUCGGCAAAAUAACUCCGUAACUUCGGGAGAAGGAGUGCCUUAUUCUUAAGGUUGCAAUAACAAGAUCCAAGCAACUGUUUAUCAAAAACACAGGUCUCCGCUAAGUCGUAAGACGAUGUAUGGGGGCUGACGCCUGCCCAGUGCCAGAAGGUUAAAGAAGUCGGUUAGCAAUAGCAAAGCUGGUAACUGAAGCCCUGGUGAACGGCGGCCGUAACUAUAACGGUCCUAAGGUAGCGAAAUUCCUUGUCGGGUAAGUUCCGACCCGCACGAAAGGCGUAAUGAUUUGGAUGCUGUCUCAGAGAGGGGCUCGGUGAGAUAGACUUGUCUGUGAAGAUGCGGACUACCUGCACCAGGACAGAAAGACCCUAUGAAGCUUUACUGUAACUUGAAAUUGAAAUUGGACUUUAUUCGCGCAGUAUAGGUGGGAGGCGUUGAUUAUAAUCUUGUGGGAUUAUUGGAGCCAUCAGUGAGAUACCACUCUUGUAAUGUUAGAUUUCUAACUUUGAAUCAUUAUCUGGUCAAAGGACAGUUUCAGGCGGGCAGUUUGACUGGGGCGGUCGCCUCCUAAACGGUAACGGAGGCGUACAAAGGUUUCCUCUGAACGGUUAGAAAUCGUAUCUAGAGUGUAAAGGCAUAAGGAAGCUUGACUGUGAGACCUACAAGUCGAGCAGGGACGAAAGUCGGUCUUAGUGAUCUGACGGUACUGAGUGGAAAGGCCGUCACUCAACGGAUAAAAGUUACUCUAAGGAUAACAGGCUGAUCUCCCCCAAGAGUUCACAUCGACGGGGAGGUUUGGCACCUCGAUGUCGGCUCAUCGCAUCCUGGGGCGGUAGUACGUCCCAAGGGUUGGGCUGUUCGCCCAUGAAAGCGGUACGCGAGCUGGGUUCAGAACGUCGUGAGACAGUUCGGUCCAUAUCCGGUGUAGGCGCUAGAAUAUUGAGAGGAGCCUUCUUUAGUACGAGAGGACCGAGAAGGACAUACCUCUGGUGUACCAGUUAUCGUGCCAACGGUAAACGCUGGGUAGCUAUGUAUGGAGUGGAUAACCGCUGAAAGCAUCUAAGUGGGAAGCCCACCUCAAGAUAAGUAUUCUCAUCACGUAAGUGAGUAAGGUCACGGUAAGACUAACCGUUUGAUAGGCAUUAAGUGUAAGUACAGUAAUGUAUGUGCUGAGAUGUCCUAAUAGACCGAGGACUUG